rnacentral:lncRNA from 1 species
AAAAGAACCACCCAGCAACCUGUAGGUUUGUGUCCAAAUAAACACUUAUGGUUUCAAGCCCCUGAGUUUGGGGGUUGGUCAGUUGUGCUGUGCUUUGAGGUGAUCACUACCUGAUAUAGCCCUUUCUUCAUGCUAACAGGAGAAGCACCUCAUGAACUGGGAGCCAGGGACCUGUGUUUUAGUUCUGGCUCAGUAUCUGUGGUGGAUAGAAUAAUGCACCCCCAUCCCCACCCUGCCCCACAAAGAUGCCUACAUUCUAAUCCCCCAACCCUGUAGACAUGUUAUCUAACACAGCAAAGGAGACGUUAUAGAUGUGAUGAAAGAUCCUGAGGUGGAGAGAUUAUCCUGGAUUAUCCAGGUGAGCCCAGUGUAAUUGCAAUGGCCUUUACAAGAAGAAGGCAAGAGGGCCAAAGUCAGAGAAGCGGUGUGAUGACGGAAGCAGAGGUUGGAGUGAAGACGGAGGAUGGGGCCACAAGCCAAGGAAUGCAGGUAGCCUCUAAAAGCUGGAAAAGACCAGGAAACAGCUUCUACCCUAGAGCCUCCAGAAGAAACUCAGCUCUUUAUUUCCUCCUUUAAGGCAUAUUUUGGACUUCUGACCUCCAGAAGUAUAAGAGAAUACAUGUGUGUUGUUUUAAGCCACUAAGUUUGUGGUAAUAUGUUACAGGAGCCAUCAGAAAUGAAUGUAGUAUCUAAGGACCCUGUGACUGAGAAGCUGUCGCUUCCUUCCAGGUGGCUCUAAACACUCUCUGAGAGCCCUGGUCCUCUCUGUAAGAAGCCUGACUACCCUGAGACUGCCAUGCUGGAGUGUGCACUCUGGUCAGCAGUCUCUGCUGAGCCCAGCCUCCCAGCCGGCCUGCCAAGGUGCCAGACAUGUGGGCGAGGCUGUCUUGAACCCUCCUGAUCAGCCCAUCACCAGCUGAACACUGAAGUGACCUCAGGAAAAAACACACAGAACAGAAGAACCAUCAAGCCAAGCCCUGCCAGAAUUUCUGACCCACAACAUCUCAAGAUGUAAUAAAAUGGUUUGUUGUUUUAAGC